rnacentral:rRNA from 1 species
AUUGAACGCUGGCGGCAGGCCUAACACAUGCAAGUCGAACGGCAGCACAGAAGAGCUUGCUCUUUGGGUGGCGAGUGGCGGACGGGUGAGUAAUGUCUGGGAAACUGCCCGAUGGAGGGGGAUAACUACUGGAAACGGUAGCUAAUACCGCAUAACGUCGCGAGACCAAAGUGGGGGACCUUCGGGCCUCACACCAUCGGAUGUGCCCAGAUGGGAUUAGCUAGUAGGUGGGGUAAUGGCUCACCUAGGCGACGAUCCCUAGCUGGUCCGAGAGGAUGACCAGCCACACGAGAACUGAGACACGGUCCAGACUCCUACGGGAGGCAGCAGUGGGGAAUAUUGCACAAUGGGCGCAAGCCUGAUGCAGCCAUGCCGCGUGUAUGAAGAAGGCCUUCGGGUUGUAAAGUACUUUCAGCGGGGAGGAAGGCGGUGAGGUUAAUAACCUCGCCGAUUGACGUUACCCGCAGAAGAAGCACCGGCUAACUCCGUGCCAGCCGCCGCCGUAA